AAAUCAACCGUUCCCUUGUCAAGAAGUCAAGUUCAUUAGAAAUCAAAUCAAAUUCAAUAUGAAUUUCUUGUAUAUCUUCGCUGUCGUUGCCCUUAUCUUGGCCAUUGCUACCGGUCAAAUUGAGGCCCGAGGCAAAAAAGGCGGAAAUAAGGGAGAUUAUAUUAGAGCUGGCAGCCAUGUGGCCGGCAAGGCUGUUGAAGGUCUUGGCGCUGCCGUUGUCGAUAAAAUUGGUGGUUAAAUUCUAAUGGAAGUUAUUGAAGUUAUAUGAAUUUCUGUAAUUUACAUCAGUUAUAAUAAAAUUGCAAUUAUUUGAAAAAAAAA